rnacentral:rRNA from 1 species
UACGGAGGAUGCAAGUGUUAUCCGGAAUCACUGGGCGUAAAGCGUCUGUAGGUGGUUUAAUAAGUCAACUGUUAAAUCUUGAGGCUCAACCUCAAAAUCGCAGUCGAAACUAUUAGGCUAGAGUAUAGUAGGGGUGAAGGGAAUUUCCAGUGGAGCGGUGAAAUGCGUAGAGAUUGGAAAGAACACCGAUGGCGAAGGCACUUUACUGGGCUAUUACUAACGCUCAGAGACGAAAGCUAGGGUAGCAAAUGGG